rnacentral:rRNA from 1 species
AGCGGUAGCACAAGGGAGCUUGCUCCCUGGGUGACGAGCGGCGGACGGGUGAGUAAUGUCUGGGAAACUGCCUGAUGGAGGGGGAUAACUACUGGAAACGGUAGCUAAUACCGCAUAACGUCGCAAGACCAAAGAGGGGGACCUUCGGGCCUCUUGCCAUCAGAUGUGCCCAGAUGGGAUAGCUAGUAGGUGGGGUAAUGGCUCACCUAGGCGACGAUCCCUAGCUGGUCUGAGAGGAUGACCGGCCACACUGGAACUGAGACACGGUCCAGACUCCUACGGGAGGCAGCAGUGGGGAAUAUUGCACAAUGGGCGCAAGCCUGAUGCAGCCAUGCCGCGUGUGUGAAGAAGGCCUUCGGGUUGUAAAGCACUUUCAGCGAGGAGGAAGGUGAUGAACUUAAUACGUUCAUCAAUUGACGUUACUCGCAGAAGAAGCACCGGCUAACUCCGUGCCAGCAGCCGCGGUAAUACGGAGGGUGCAAGCGUUAAUCGGAAUUACUGGGCGUAAAGCACACGCAGGCGGUUUGUUAAGUCAGAUGUGAAAUCCCCGGGCUCAACCUGGGAACUGCAUUUGAAACUGGCAAGCUAGAGUCUCGUAGAGGGGGGUAGAAUUCCAGGUGUAGCGGUGAAAUGCGUAGAGAUCUGGAGGAAUACCGGUGGCGAAGGCGGCCCCCUGGACGAAGACUGACGCUCAGGUGCGAAAGCGUGGGGAGCAGACAGGAUUAGAUACCCUGGUAGUCCACGCUGUAAACGAUGUCGAUUUGGAGGUUGUGCCCUUGAGGCGUGGCUUCCGGAGCUAACGCGUUAAAUCGACCGCCUGGGGAGUACGGCCGCAAGGUUAAAACUCAAAUGAAUUGACGGGGGCCCGCACAAGCGGUGGAGCAUGUGGUUUAAUUCGAUGCAACGCGAAGAACCUUACCUACUCUUGACAUCCAGAGAA